AUUCCGUGAUAGCUGGUUCUCUCCGAAAUGCAUUUGGGUGCAGCGUCGGGUCAUUGCGUCGCGGGGGUAGAGCUACCGGAUGCUUGCGGGCCCUUGUUGGGUACCAACAGCAGCCGAACUCCGAAUACCGUUGACGUGUAUUCCGGCAGUGAGUCGGCGGGGGAUAAGCUCCGUCGUCGAGAGGGAGACAGCCCAGACCGUCGUCUAAGGUCCCGAAGCGUGUGCUAAGUGGGAAAGGAUGUGGAGUCGCAUAGACAGCCAGGAGGUUGGCUCAGAAGCAGCCACCCUUGAAAGAGUGCGUAACAGCUCACUGGUCUAGUGGUUCCGCGCCGACAAUGUAGCGGGGCUCAAGCACACCACCGAAGACGCGGCAGCAAUCUUCAUGGUUGCUGGGUAGGAGAGCGUCCUGCGAGGGGCGAAGCGGCCGGGUAACCGUGCCGUGGACUUCGUGGGAGUGAGAAUGCAGACAUGAGUAGCGAGAGACGGGUGAAGAUCCCGUCCGCUGGAUGACCAAGGGUUCCAGGGCCACGUUCAUCGUCCCUGGGUGAGUCGGGUCCUAAGGCGAGGCCGACAGGCGUAGUCGAAUGGAUGAACGGGUGGAUAUUCCCGUACCGACCAUGGACCGGCAAAACCGAGACGGUGAGUACUAACCUCCGCCUCGUGGUGGUUCCUUCCUUCGGGUUGGUUCCGCCGCGUGGUGUUGGGACUGUAGCCGUAGUAGGUCAGCGCAGGGGUGACACGGAAUGGGAGCCGGCCGCGGAGGUGGUUUUCCGUGGUCAAGCACGCAGCCAGUCAUGUAGGCAAAUCCGCAUGGCGCGCAUGGCGAGGUGUGAUGAUGGGAGCCGUUAUGGCUCGAUAUCCGGUUGUCCAGGCCGUCGAGAAAAGCCUCGGCGUGAGGGCCAUGGCCGCCCGUACCCCAAACCGACACUGGUGGUCAGGUAGAGAAUACCAAAGCGAUCGAGCGAAUCCUGGUCAAGGAACUCGGCAAAUCACUCCCGUGCCUUCGGUAUAAGGGAGACCCGCUGGGGUGAACCGGCUAGCCCGGGGAGCUUUGGUGGGUGGCACAGACCAGGGGGUAGCGACUGUUUACCAAAAACACAGGUGCAUGCGAAGGCGAAAGCCGCUGUAUAUGCACUGACGCCUGCCCGGUGCCGGAAGGUUAAGAGGAUCCGUCAGCCUUCGGGUGAAGCGGUGAAUUCAAGCCCCGGUAAACGGCGGUGGUAACUAUAACCAUCCUAAGGUAGCGAAAUUCCUUGUCGGGUAAGUUCCGACCUGCACGAAUGGCGUAACGACUUCCCCACUGUCUCGACCAGGAGCUCGGCGAAAUUGCAGUACGAGUAAAGAUGCUCGUUAAGCGCAGAAGGACGAAAAGACCCCGGGACCUUUACUAUACCUUGGUAUUGGCGUUAGGCGCGGAUUGUGUAGCAUAGGCGGGAGGCUUCGAAGCGGGUGCGCCAGCAUUCGUGGAGCCGCAAGGUGAAAUACCGCUCUGUUCUCGUUUGACGUCUAACCUCGACAAGUCAUCCUUGUCAGGGACAGUGCCUGGCGGGUAGUUCAACUGGGGCGGUUGCCUCCCAAAGAGUAACGGAGG
rnacentral:rRNA from 1 species